UCAAAAACUGCGCCCGAGUUGGGCCCGCGCCCGGGGGUGGGGGAGGGCUGAGCGGGCAAGGAGUGUACUGAGUCGGCGCAGAAGCGUGCCUGGCACCGGGGAUCUGUGAUGAAUCCAGUUGAGUGCGAAGUCGGCGCCAUCUUUGAUGCAGUCACAGGGGAGAUUCAUCAGUCAAGAUCAUAGAAGGUACACAUAAAUGCUGGAGAAACCAGCGGGUGCAGCAGCAUCUAUGGAGCGAAGGAUCAUAGAGUCAAGAUUGUGAAAGAAGGGACAAACAGAUGCUGGUUUACACCGAAGAAGACAGACACAAAAUGCUGGAGUUUCUCAGCCGGACAGGCAGCAUCUCUGGAUAGAAGGAAUGGAAGAGGGUCUGUCUUAUGUACCAAAGCAGAACAAUGAAACUCUUCCUUGCAGCAGCUUAACAGGAAAUCUAAUGGAUCAGGGAACGUAGCGAUUGCAUUUUUCAUUGAAGAAACAGAAACUCAGCCUCCACUCCCACUCCCUUCUUUAAAGAAAGGCCCAACAAGUUCAAGAAACCAACUACUUCGAGG